rnacentral:rRNA from 1 species
AUUGAACGCUGGCGGCAGGCCUAACACAUGCAGUCGAACGAGUGGCGGACGGGUGAGUAAUGUCUGGGAAACUGCCUGAUGGAGGGGGAUAACUACUGGAAACGGUAGCUAAUACCGCAUACCAUCGGAUGUGCCCAGAUGGGAUUAGCUAGUAGGUUGGGUAACGGCUCACCAGGUCCACGAUCCCUGGCUGGUCGGAGAGGAUGACCAGGCACACGGGAACGUAGAGACGGUACAGACUCCUACGGGAGGAAGCAGUGGGGAAUAUGGCAAAAUGGGCGCAAGCCUGAUGCAGCCAUGCCGCGUGUAUGAAGAAGGCCUUCGGGUUGUAAAGUACUUUCAGCGGGGAGGCGUUACCCGCAGAAGAAGCACCGGCUAACUCCGUGCCAGCCGCCGCGGUAAUUC